UAAAGUGGCUACACCGUCCUGCAAAUGCCCAAUUCCAUCAGAUCUCAGAAGCUAAGCAGGGCUAGGCUGGGUUAGAACUUGGAUGGGACCCUGCCUUGGAAGACCAGGGACUGUCUUAC
rnacentral:rRNA from 12 species